CGGGCCCGGCCGCCACACCCCACCCCGGCCGGCCCCUCUAGCAUGGUGCGGGGCCGCCGCCGCCUCCUCCUCCGGCUGCCGACAUGGGCGAGAGGCUGGAGCUCCGGCUGAAGUCGCCCGUGGGAGCCGAGCCCGCCGUCUACCCCUGGCCGCUGCCCGUCUACGACAAACACCAUGAUGCUGCUCAUGAAAUUAUUGAGACAAUUCGGUGGGUCUGUGAAGAAAUUCCAGAUCUCAAGCUUGCUAUGGAAAACUAUGUUUUAAUAGACUAUGAUACAAAAAGCUUUGAAAGCAUGCAGAGGCUUUGUGACAAGUACAACCGAGCCAUUGAUAGCAUUCAUCAGUUGUGGAAGGGAACCACCCAACCAAUGAAGCUGAACACUCGUCCCUCCAACGGGCUCCUCCGGCACAUCCUGCAGCAAGUGUACAACCACUCAGUGACUGACCCAGAGAAACUCAACAACUAUGAGCCCUUUUCCCCAGAGGUUUAUGGAGAAACUUCCUUUGACUUGGUAGCCCAAAUGAUAGAUGAAAUUAAAAUGACAGAGGAUGAUUUGUUUGUUGACCUGGGCAGUGGUGUGGGUCAGGUGGUGCUUCAAGUGGCUGCAGCCACAAACUGCAAACAUCAUUAUGGUGUGGAGAAAGCUGAUAUUCCAGCCAAAUAUGCUGAGACGAUGGACAGAGAGUUCAGAAAGUGGAUGAAAUGGUAUGGGAAAAAACAUGCAGAAUACACACUGGAAAGAGGUGACUUCCUCUCAGAAGAAUGGAGAGAGAGAAUUGCAAACACAAGUGUUAUCUUUGUGAAUAAUUUUGCCUUUGGUCCUGAGGUGGAUCACCAACUGAAGGAGAGAUUUGCCAACAUGAAGGAAGGUGGGAGAAUUGUGUCCUCAAAACCUUUUGCACCUCUAAAUUUUAGAAUUAACAGUCGAAACUUGAGUGAUAUUGGCACUAUUAUGAGAGUUGUGGAGCUAUCACCACUGAAAGGGUCUGUGUCAUGGACCGGGAAACCAGUUUCUUACUACCUGCAUACUAUUGACCGAACCAUACUUGAAAACUAUUUUUCUAGUCUCAAAAAUCCAAAACUCAGGGAGGAACAAGAGGCAGCUAGACGUCGUCAGCAAAGAGAAAACAAGAGCAACACAACUACUCCAACCAAGGUUCAAGAAAACAAGGAUUCUGGUGCUGAAGAAGAAAAGGCUGGGGCAAAUUCUGUUAAAAAGCCAUCUCCCUCCAAAGCACGGAAGAAAAAGCUGAGUAAAAAAGGAAGGAAAAUGGCAGGCAGGAAACGAGGACGGCCCAAGAAAAUGAACACUGCAAACACAGAGCGCAAGACCAAGAAGAACCAAACUGCACUAGAACUUCUGCAUGCCCAAACUGUGUCACAGACAUCUUCAUCCUCUCCUCAGGAUGCAUACAAGUCACCUCAUAGUCCAUAUUACCAACUACCUCCUAAAGUGCAACGGCAUUCAUCUAACCAGCUCCUGGUGACACCUACUCCACCUGCACUACAGAAGCUGCUAGACUCCUUUAAGAUCCAGUACAUGCAGUUCAUGGCAUACAUGAAAACUCCUCAGUACAAGGCAAGUCUGCAACAGUUACUGGAGCAAGAAAAGGAAAAGAAUGCUCAGCUACUGGGGACAGCACAGCAGUUAUUCACCCACUGCCAGGCACAGAAAGAGGAAAUCAAACGUCUUUUUCAGCAAAAACUUGAUGAGUUGGGAGUUAAAGCUCUAACCUACAAUGACCUGAUUCAGGCUCAGAAGGAAAUCUCUGCUCACAAUCAGCAGCUGAAAGAACAGACAAAACAGCUGGAGAAGGAUAACAGUGAACUCAGGAACCAGAGCUUACAGCUGCUUAAGGCACGGUGUGAAGAACUGAAGCUGGAUUGGUCAACACUGUCACUGGAGAACUUGCUGAAAGAGAAGCAGGCGCUGAAGAAUCAGAUAUCUGAGAAACAAAAGCACUGCUUGGAGUUGCAGAUCAGCAUUGUGGAACUUGAGAAAAGUCAAAGACAGCAGGAGCUCCUGCAGCUGAAAUCGUACACGCCGUCGGACGAGUCACUGUCAGUACAGCUACGCAAUAAAACCCAUUUGAGCCGUGAUCCUGAGGCUGAUCACAGCAGGUUCCAGCUGGAGCUUGAAUGCUCCAAGUUUCCUAUGCCCCACGUGAAUGGCAUGAGCCCUGAACUGUCCAUGAAUGGCCAUGCUACUCCUUAUGAAAUUCAUAACACUUUUAGCAGGCCCUCUUCCAAGCAGAACACCCCUCAGUACACGACCUCUCACCUGGACCAAGAAAUAGUUCCCUGUACCCCAAACCACAGCAGCAGACUGAAGACGGACAAAAUGACAAGCUUGUCCUUACCUGAUUAUACCAGGUUUUCCCCAGCUAAAAUAGCACUUAGGAGGCACUUGAACCAAGACCAUGCAGUCAAUGGAAAAGCAACAACUAAUGAGAUCCAGAGAGCUGACCAUGUCAAAGAGAAUGGCCUUACAUAUCCAAGCCCUGGUAUUGCAAAUGGCAUAAAGCUGAGUCCUCAGGAAACUCGGCCCUCUUCCCCAGCGGCCUUACCAGUUGCAGGCGAGAAGGUUUUGAGAGAGAGAACCUCUGUGAGUAAUGGAGAAACUAUCACCAGCCUACCUAUCAGUAUUCCUCUCAGCACAGUGCAGCCCAAUAAACUCCCUGUUAGUAUCCCUCUGGCCAGCGUAGUCCUACCUAGCCGUGUUGAGAAGGUGAGAAGCACACCUAGCCCAGUUCAUCAGAGUAGAGACUCAUCGACACUUGAAAAGCAGAUUGGUGCUAGUUCUCAUAAUGGCAUAAGCAAUGCUGCUGGAAACAAGCCACUGGCUUUGGCUACCUCAGGUUUUUCUUACUCUUCUGGCUCCGUGGCAGUCAAUGGAAAUCUUACAAACAGCCCAGCCCAUCUUAACCAUAGUGUUGAUCAGGCAGCUCUGGACGACUCUGGGAGUCUGUUUAACUCAGUAGGGUCUCGGAGUUCCACUCCACAACAUCCUUUGCUAAUGAUGCAGUCAAGGAACUCUGGGCAAAACUCCCCUGCUCACCAGCACUCAACAAGCCCCAGGUUAAAUGGCACCUCCCAGAGCCUGGUAGGGGUAUUGCAAUAUGCAGAUGCUCAGAAGAUGUUUGCCGAAGGAACAAAGGGGGAUCUUCAGUCUGAGGCUGCGUUUUCAGAUCCUGAGAACGAGACCAAGAGAAGAAUCAUCUUUACAAUCUCUCCUAAUACAGGACAUGUAAAACAAUCCCCUUCCAACAAGCACAGUCCUCUGCCCACGAGCACUCGGCUGGACUGUGGCCAAGCACACGUGCAGGAUGGGAAGAAACGAGGCCGGAGGAAGAGAUCGUCCACCGGGAACCUCAGCGGGAACUCCGGGGUCUCCCCGAAACGUAAAUCCUUACCUACUGUGUCUGGACUCUUUACACAACCAUCAGGUUCACCACUCAAUAUCAACUCCAUGGUCAAUAACAUUAACCAGCCUUUAGAAAUAACAGCCAUUUCCUCUCCUGAAAACUCCUUGAAGAACUCUCCUGUUCCUUACCAGGACAAUGACCAACCCCCAGUUCUGAAAAAGGAAAAGCCCCUCAUUCAGACCAAUGGUGUUCAUUACUCUCCUCUGACAUCAGAUGAAGAGCAGGGAUCAGAAGAUGAGCACAAUAGCAGCAGAAUUGAGAGGAAAAUUGCAACAAUAUCAUUGGAAAGCAAAUCUCCACAGAAGACUGUUGAAAAUGGCGGCAGUUUAUCUGGGAGGAAACAAUCACAAAGCAACGAGAACAUGAACAGCAGUAAAUGGAAAUCUACUUUUUCACCAAUAUCUGACAUCAACCUGACCAAAACUACAGAUAGUCCUUUGCAGUCAGUUUCAUCUCUGAGCCAGAAUUCCCUGUUUGCCUUCAGGCCAUCCUCUGAGGACAUCGACGCCAAGAUCUCGGCACACGCGAGGAAAAGCAUCACUAUGGCCUCCUCUGGGGCGGAGGGGCUCAGCCCUGGUACAAACUCCACUAAUGGUUUCACCUACAAUGGAGGCCUGUCCUCUGAGAUGGGUUUACACAGCUUUACUGAUGGUGCUUCCCUUCCCCACAAGGCUUCAGACCUGGCACCUUCCAACUGCUCGCUGGGUUUCCCGUCGCAGCGAAGCAAAGAGGUGGGGAUAUCGGAAACGAAUCCGUUCUUGAACAAGAGGCAACUCGAGGGCCUCAGCAGCACAAAAGGAGAAGACUUAAACCGACCAGGGGUCAAAGGCAAAGAGAUGAGUGAAAUCAGCAUUCGUACUGGGGGUUCUUCUGAAAAAAACUCUUUGCAGCAUAACGGGAAGGUUGGCAAAGGAAGGGACCGAGAUGUGGAGUUUAAAAAUGGCCACAACCUUUUCAUUUCUGCUGCUGUUUCAUCUGGUGGCCUUCUGAAUGGGAAAAGCCUUUCUACUGCUGUUUCUUCAGCAGGCAACCCAGCAUCUUCUGUUCAGACACACCAUCCUUUCCUAAACACUUUGACCACUGGAUCACAGUUCCCCCUCGGCCCCAUGACUUUGCAAGCAAACCUCAACUCGGUGACAAAUUCCUCAGUAUUGCAGUCUUUAUUUAAUUCAAUGCCAGCUGCUGCCAGUCUGGUCCACGUGUCAUCAGCUGCAACCAGACUGACUAAUUCUCACACUAUGGGGAACUUCUCUCCUGGGGUUACAGGUGGAACAGUUGGAGGUAGGCAGAACUCUUUCUCUGGUAUAAGACAGGGCCUAAAGGAAAGUCUGACACUGCCUCUCCAGGGGUGAAACCCUUUCACUUCUGCAGGAUGUGAAGCAGAUCUGUCCCACAUAACCACUCUCCUCUAUCUCUCGGAAAUGCUAGGAUGGGGUUCAGUUCCCCAGAGUUGAAAUCCCAUGAGCUUUGUCUACUAGAUGAGCUUGUUGUAUCACCUUAAUGAAAGAAUACACCCAGACUUUGUGAUUUCAUAAUGUAUGCUUGUUCAGAUGUUGCUGUGUUGGAACCAACUUAGGUCUGCCUGCAGGUAAAAGAUUUAACUUGUCGUGGUACCAAGCUAAGGAUCUCUAACUUGUCAACUUGAGUAAAGGUUGAGGUUAGGCCUUGAAUGGAUUUAGCAUGAUCCAGGAGGAACAACACAUCAGUGCCUCUUCAGAGGAGAUGGUGUUGGGAAUUGCGUAGCAUUCUGGCUCUUGAAUGGACACGAAGAGCAUUUCUUUGCCAGGAAGGGCAAUGCCAUAUGCACCUUGCACUUCUGGGAUUCUGCACAGGCUUGGCUUCUGUGGCCCAAACUGAAGACAAGCUGGCAGGACUAGAAGAUAGUCUGAACCUGCCGUACCUAAAUGUCCAAGGCAGUUUUUUCUUACCUGUCCAUAAUCAUUCAGGCACCAUGUCGGGAAAUCCUAACUCUCACAUCUCUCAGCACGUAGAUUUGCUGGAAAUACAAUCUCCCCUCUGCUGCCCUGUAAGUGGGGAAGCAGGAGGGUGGGGAGGGAAGAGCAGCAGUUUGAGUCUUCAGAUUAAACAACUCUAGAGACCACGUAAUCUCAUCAAAAGUCUACCCGUGUGGUAUAGAACUGACAGUUCUUGGGUCUGACCAUUUUUCCUCGUGGCAUUUAGAGGUUGGCAGUAGGAAAGGUAACUAGGAUUUCUACCUCAACCCAAUGUGACCUAUGCAAGGACAACGUGGACCAACUUCACUCGCCUUCCACUGAAAGGUGCUCACCUGGCCUGUGCAGGGGUUUCUACUCACUUACUACUGGACAAAAUAAUAACAUAAAAAGACCUAAACAACCGAGAAAAUAUUUACUGUGAAUCUGAGUUAAAAAGGCAAAAAAAAAAAAAAAAAAAAAAGGCAAAAGAAAUGCUUAAAGCUCCAGUUUGUAUUGUCAAUAGUUUAGAUAAAGUAUUUAUCUUUUUUUAAAGUAAAAACAAUUUUGACUUAUUUUAUUCCACCUAGAACCAUGAAUACAAGUUAUUAUUGAAUUCUCUGAAUACUAAAGGACUGGCACACCAGCAGAGAUGUAGAGAGCCUCCUCUCGGUGCUAUUUCCUCCGUCAGAACUGUGCCUCUAGUUUGAAUCCUUGGUGCUGAAUUUGGAGGGUUGACCAAUGCCAAACCCAGUUCUCAGAAAGGUCUUCAGUUUAUUUAUUCUACUUGCUCUGUUCAUAUACCAAACCCCACUUGGUUUAGCAGAGAGAAGCAGUCUUCUAUCUCAUGGUUUGUUUUAAUUUGACCUGUGCUGGGCACUCUUUUAACUGGGUGGUUUUUAAUUAUUGUGUUUAUGACCCAGAAGAUGUCAAUCCCUCCCCUCUGGAGUGGCAGCCAGUGCCUGGGGUGGCCCAGGUGAGCUCAGCCAAUGCAGGCACAGUUUGAACAGAAGAAAUUCAAGUCCUGCCCCAUUCAAACUACUUCACUGAGCCAUUUGCAGUUGCUGGUGGCACUCAAGUCACUGUGAAUUUUGGUAGCUAGUCUGGUAACUUGUUUUGGGAUGUCAUUGGCAUAUGAACAGGGUGUAUAAUCACUGGUAUUGGUCAGGCCCUUUUUACCAACAUUGGGAAGACUCAACUUAGUGCUUCUGUACUGGUGCAGGUAGCAGAUAUUCUCAGCUUGUUGUUUUUGUUUAAAGUACAAUGUAUUUUGUUAGUAGAGUUUUUGAUACUUGAUUCAGAAAUGGCUUGGCCGUGUAUAUUUGUUGAUGAAGUGCAUUUUGCUUUUGUAUUUCUUUGGUUUAAGUAGGUAGUUCACAAAAACACCACGAUCUAGCUUCCUGUGCUGCCACACCAUCAGACUGGUGCAGUUCAUUGUCUCGUGACUUGGUGUUCUGUGUACAGAGAGCAGCAGCUGUGUUUGGGAGAGAUGUGAUGAAAAAUUAUAAAUUUCAUAUACUUUAUUUCCUUUAUUUUUAGAUUGUACAAUGCACAGUAAACUUGUAAAAAAAACCAACUUAUUUAUUUGAGUGCACAAAGUGAGAAGGACGAUCCAUGAAAUAGAAGUCAUGCUGGUCUGUACCAGCCUGGACCAAGCACUGAUAAAGGAAACUACAGGAAAAGGGGAAUUAGAACAGCAAAAUGACUACAGAAAAAAACACAUUUAAGCUUUGGGGAAGCAUCUGCCUGCAAACCUCAGUGCUCUGUGGGGCAGCACUGAGGGCAGAGGCCACUGGUGCUCCCUAAGGAGUCUCCACCUCCAGCUAUCAGGUGUUCCCCAUUGACCUGAGCCCUGCCCCACAGCCACCACAUGGAGCAUCCCAUGGUCACAAAGAGCUGGCUGAAUGUGGGAGUUGUCCCACUCCUGCCUCUGUGUUUGGUGUAGCUGAGAUAUCUCUACCCUGGUGUGGUUUUCCUGCUGAGCAGGUCCAGGAGGAAUUAUUGUGAGCAGCAGAAUGUGGGGGUGAGGUGCCAUAGCAGCUCUUACCCUCUACAGCCUUCAGUCAGGCCCUUCUCUAUACCUCUUCCCUGGAAGUCUUAAUAGAGAUUUAGGACAAAGUGCAGUUAUUUUGUUGAUUCCUAAGUGUGUCUUCCAUAGGCAGCCUUUGUGCAUAGAAACUGUUAAUUGAACUUUGCCUUCUUGUUCACUGGAAAGGGAAGGGAUUGAUAGCCCUGAAAAUUGGGGGCAUUUUGGUACUGUUUUCUGCUUUGCAUGUAGGAGAGGACAUGCCAGCAGUGUGCCCUGCUGAGUUACUAACAGUGUCGUGGAAACCUGGAGAAGGGCAAAAGUGCUCAGAGGGUGAGAGCUGAGAAACAUCCAGUAGCUUCUAGUAGAAGCCAUACAGUGUAUGUCCUGGAAUCCAGGAGGACAAUGUAACCCAGAUGUUUUGCAGCUGGGACUUGGGCAGCUCCAACUUCUUCCAGCUCUUUGGAUAACUGGAAGUUGCAGAGCUGCCUUAGCAUCCUUCCCAGCAAAGGGCAGAGUGCUCAGGUCUUUGAAGGCUUUAGUUGGAAGGCUGUGCCUGUGCGAUUGCUGGAGGGGCAUUAGCCUUAAUUACAUCUCCCCCCUCUCAGUUAUAUCCCUGAUGGGAGAGGUUAAGAAAUACAAGUAGAAGCUUUUACUCACUCACCUUUUCUGAAAAGUGACCAAGAUACAGUGUUCCUUGGACCUCUUGUGCCUCCCUUCAUCUCAAACCACACAAGACAUCCAGCAGCAGAACUUGUCCACCAGCAAUUGUUCUGAAUGGGGAAGGUUGGGUUCUGCCCACUCCCAAAGUGCUCACAAGGACUCUCUGGAGAAGGCACUGACUUUCAGAACUUUGGAGAACCUACUGUGCUUUCCACGUGCUCAAGGGCUGUGUCACCUACCUGGCUCCCAGUGUCCCUCAGCUGAAGAGGAGAGCCAGGUCCUUGUGGGAAUGACUUGCUUUGGCCUGAGGUUCAGCAAUCAGUGCCUGGGGAGAAAGAGAGAACUGUUGGAUGUGGUUUAGUGGUGGACAUGGGAGCUGUUAUGAUCUUAAAAGUCUUCCUGCAGCCUAAAUGAUCCUGUGAUUUAUCUGACCCUUUGGAGAAAAGGCUCUGGGCAAGGAGUUUGUCAUCUGUUCUCCAGCGGGUGUUGUGGAAAAGCAAAAUCCCCUUGGUCCCUCAGUGUCACCUCCAUGGGGGGGAUCAGAAGUCCUCAGUGUUUCUUGCAGGACUUGCCCACAAGCUGCCAGCACAAAUGGGCAGCACAAGCCUGCUUGCUGUAGCUGAGCACGUGGGUGCUAUCAAGACAUUUCCAGUUACCAGCAUUCUGGAGUCUACAGCUCUCCAGCUGUCAUCCAGGAAAGCCAAAGGAAACCAGAGCCAGGAAUAAACACACAGCUGGGACUUCAUUGAAAGGGAUUCAGUCUGCUGGCCAACCUGGGGAACAUCUGCUUCAGCUUCCUGGGGUCUGUGUGGACUGGGCUUUCAUCUACCUCUGUGUCACCUCAGUGCUGUCAUUCUCAGUGACCUGUCAUUCCCUGUUGUUCCCAUCUUGCAGGAGUCUGGAGCUUCUCUGACCUUCUCAGUGUCUUCCACCUGGCACCCUUGGCACCUUCACCUUCCAUUGCUUUGUGUAAUAGCAAAGCCUCUCACUUGUGUGGUGGCUCCAGCUACAUCUUUGUAGUAAUUCCCCCCAAGAUGUGCUUCCAGGGAGGUGCCUGAUGAGCUGGUGCUUCCAGGGAGAUACCUGAUAAACUGGUGCUUGCAGGAGCAGCGUGAGGUGGGAGCCAGGCAGUGCAGGGUUUGGACCAUUGGCCUCGUGUUGGGUCAGCUGGGAGAUGUUGCCAAGAGGUUUGUGGUGUUGUUGUCUUCCCUGCCUCCUAAUCUUUGGCCUCUUUGCCAUAGUCUAGAGCAAGUUCAACUUGUUUCUCCUCUGCAAACCUGAGAGAGUGUUUACCUUGCUGUAUGGUUGCUGAAGGAAUGGCUUUGGGAUGGUCAGAGCUGAUCCGUAUGGCUACAAGACUGAAACCCUCCUGACCCUACUGUAGGAGUGCUAGGCCAGAGGUCUGAAACCUGUUUUCAAUAAUUGAAGAUAUUUUUGAGUAAUCAAAGCCAAACAGCCUGUUCCAAAAAGGAAUUCCUUCUGCCUUACCACAUCCUGCUGGGUCCGGUCGUGCCGUGGCUGUCACACGUGUUCCGUCUCCUCCACGCUGCUGCUGCCAGUGAAGAGACACAUCAGGAAGCUAAAAUACAUCUUGUAGGACAUUCAUUGCAAAAAAAAAAAAAAAAUAAAAGGAACUUCCUGAGCAAAACAUGUACCCUGCUGCUAAAUGUCAGCCUUGAGGAACAAGCUUUGCUCCCUCUUCCUUUUUUGGUGAUUUCUUACUGGGUUGAGUCCUCUGAGACCCACCGUGCUGGGAAGCUGGGAAGCCUCCAAAAGAGCUGAACCCAACCUCCCUGUUUGCUGUGGAUUAGUCAUUCAGCAACAAUUCUCCCCUCAGCCAGAGGGGUGGGUGGAGGGGCACCCCACAGUCAGAUUUCUUCUCUUCGUGGAGCUGAAGGACAAAGAGGGAAGGUGUUGCUGGGGAUAUGGAGGUUCAGGUUGCUGGUGUGCAGGAUGGUGGGGAGGUCAAACUGUUCUGCCCAGACAAAGUUUUCUUGUGCUUCCACCUUGUUUCCUUCUUUCCUGGUGUUGAUAGCUCUUCUAGUGCCCCAUGCUCCAGCGUUGUGAAGCCUGAAUUCCCCCUGUGCCAGGACUUGCCAACAGGUUCAUAGAAUCAUAGAAAUUUCAGGGUUGGAAAGGACCUUUAAGACAAUCGUCUUAAAGUUCCAGCCCUCCUGCCACAGGCAGGGACACCUCCCAAGAGAUGAGGUUGCUCAGAGCCCUUAAAGCCUGACUUUAGGCAUGAGGAUGAGGAGGUGGGGAUGAAGGUCAGCUUGUAGGGUCUGAGUCUGUGGUUGCACGUACAGUUACUCAAGUACCCCAGGGUUGUAUCCCUUGGUUGGGAUCACUGAUUUUGUGACUCAGGAGCUUUCAAAUCGCCAGGACCUGACACUCCUCAGCCUGAAACUUGUCCAACUGUUUGUCACAAUUGGUUACUUAAUCACCAAGCCUGGAGUAUCCUUUUUCCUUGUUAAGUCAAACUUACUAUCCAAGCAAGUAACUUCUUGGUUUGCAGUCUGCUGAGCAGAUGGGUUUCAGGCUUGGAAAGCUCUUUUGUUUCAUCUGAAUUGUGUUUCCAGCUGGAGCAUGGCUUUAGUGCUGCUUGGCUGCAGGGUUUGGUGCAUGGCUCAGGUGUGUGGGUCCUUGCCCUCACCCUGCUGGGGACAAGAAUUUCCUUCUGACUGGUGCUGGUGACUCUUCUUCAGCUUCCUUCUUUUGGGGCUGAACUAGAUGACCUCUGAAGGUUUCCUCCUACCCAACCCACUGUGUUCUCUCUGCAGACAGAUCGGGGAUAAUUGCCUUGCUGCAGAGAGCAAAUGGGUGGGGUGUGAGCAGGAAGGAGAUGGAAGUGAGCCAGCUCUGCCCUGCCUGCUUCUACUGCAGAUUCCUGCAGAGCACAGAGGGGGCUACAACAACAUUUGCAGCUUGGGUGCUCCAUGCUCUGGUGGAUUUACUCCCUCAUCCCAGCCUUCCCUGCAGUGGAAGCUGGAUCUGCCUGUGCUGCUGGGCUUCCCCUUCCAGGAGUAAGGAGGCCAGGCAGCUUGGAGUUGCCUCCAGGGACCUGUGGGGUUUGAUUCCUGCUAGGAUUUUGUAUGUGUAAAGCAGCAUCUGCUCCCCCCACCCGUUAUUUUCCCCCUUGGAAGAGAGGCCCAGCAGAGGAGAGGCUGAGGCAGGGAGAGCAUCAGUGGCUGCAGAGCUGGUACCUGCACUAGGGUGGACUUGGUUCUGGUUCAGCUGAUGGGUUUUGGUGGGACACAGAAUUGUUCUGAGAGGUUUAAGGACCAGCAUGAGUUUUCAUCUCUUGAGUUUCUUGGUAAGCCCAGCUCUUUGUGACUGCUGUGGAUCUGUUGGUGGCCCUGGCAGGAAGAUGGAGGAAUCUGUGCCCUUUGUAAUGUCCCUGCUGCAGGGACUCCUGGCGUGGCUCUCCCCCAGCAGCCGUGUUGCUGCAGGCAGGAAGGCUCCAGGUCCAGUCCUGCUGAUGGGGAGGGGUCUGCAGGGUUGGACCUUUCCCUCAGGGAGUCAUUCCCUGCCCCCUCGGGGUUUGCCCCAUUGCUGGAAGAGGAGACUUGGUGCUGGGAGCUCCUUUCUAGGCUGCUGCUGGGGAUCCCCUCCUGGCUCAGACCUCCCAAUGUCCCAUCCCUGGAGUUGGUGCUCAUCACCUCCAAGCAGCAGUAACAAACACUCCUGUCCCCAGUCCCCAGCCUGGGGUCACUGGAGCAGCUGGUGCUGAUCCCAGGUGCUGCUGGUGGUGGAAGAGCCUUUGGUUGGGACUUGGACUUUCUGUCUUCAUGACAACAGAAGCAUCUUUGGUUGACCAAGUCCUUUGUAGAACCCAUUUGCUUUCUGAGUUGAAAUCAAUCUUUUUAAUACAGGGUAUGGGAACCUGGAGAGUGGAGAUGUUUGUUUUUCUUGGAGUUAUCCCAGCUCACACGUGUGGCUGACUUGAAAAAUUCUCUUCUUGUUUGGCCUGAGCCAUCAAGAGGAAUUAAGGUUUGGGAGCUCCAAAUGGUGGCUUCUUCAGUUAAGGACUGGAGGUUGUGCUGUGGGCUGCAAACAAACUAAAAAGGAUUUUAUGAACCACAAUUUGAGGAGAAGAAACUAGACAGUGUUUUUGUGAACUAUCUUUGCAGCACUGAGGAAAAAUCCCAUGAACUGGGUGUUUUGGAAGCACAGAUGUGUAGUCAGUGUACAAGUAUUUGAGUAUUUGAAGUUUUAUGACUGUUAAAAUUUUUUUUCCUCCUUUUUUUUUUUUUCCUACAACAUUUCCAUAGCUUGCAUAUCAGGUUUUCACUAAAAAGCAAAAAUGGAUUACCAGUUUUCAAAGUUUUGUUGUGCCAUAUUUUAUUUAUCCUUAUGCAUUAUAAAUAUAUAAUAUCUAUUUAGAUUGAAUAUUGCAAUGAAAGAUGCUGUUAUUGUGAACUUCAGGGCUUAAGCCCGAGACAAAAAAAUGGGAAAUACUUUUAAUAUUUGCUGUUGGUGACUCUUCUGAAGAGGUUUCUGUAGUUUCAAACAAAGUCACAUCUUAAAAGUCAAAGUUUUACGAUGCUGACCCUGAAGUUCUCAAGUUUUGGAGCCUUUGGGGUUUUUUUGAGGUACAUCUGGUUGCUUUUCUGGUGCCAUCAAAUGAUUCUUUCUGAAGGUCUCAUUUCUGGAGUUAAUGAGGAAAAAUUGGAAUGGGUUGGUCUAUCCUGCUUGGCUUUUUUUAACCUAUUAAUCUCUGAAGUGAUCAAUAUCAAAUUAAAACCCAACUUCUUAGGUCUCUGUUCUACUGAAACUUUUUAGGGAGUGAGAACCUGCCCUUGCUGAGUGGGACUUUGAUGGGGAAAGCAGUAGAUUAUGAGGUUGCUGUUGCUCAGGAAUUGAUUAGUAAUCUUUUAACUACUAAUUGAAAAUCCAUUUUUCAAUGGAUUUUUUAAAAAACCCAUUUUCUUAGAACAGUGAUAUGGGAUGUUUCCUAGUGAAUAGGAAUUAGUUUAUAUAAUUUAGCCUAUUAAACUGAAUUAUUUAAAAUUCAAACUUCCCCUAAUUUAUCUUUUUUUGUUGUUGUUGUUGAUGUUGUUGGUUUUGGGUUUUGGUUUUGGUUUUUUUUUUAUAUAUAUAUACCAGUAAGUUGUCCUGUCAUUCCUUUUCAUUCUUCCAUAGACGUAGUGUGAAUUCUUCUGGUGUGUAUAUAUGUAUGUAUAAUAUAUAUAUUUCCACCCUGCCUUUCUAAUGCUCCACAAUGUAAGAGUUAGGGUUUUUUCUCCCCUCCCUCCACUUAAUUUCUUGUGUCUUUACCUUGAUUUGUAAUUGAAACAAUGCUUUGAAGUUUUGUCUUUAUAUUAAAGUGUAUGUAUUUUAAUA